rnacentral:pre_miRNA from 1 species
CGAGUACUCCCUCCUAUCCAUAUUAUUUGUCGCUCAAACGGAUGUAUCUAGAUGUAUUUUAGUGCUAGAUACAUUAGUCUGAAUGACAAGUAAUAUGGAUCGGAGGGAGUACAUG